GACGAACGCUGGCGGCGUGCUUAACACAUGCAAGUCGAGCGAUGAAGCUUCUUCGGAAGUGGAUUAGCGGCGGACGGGUGAGUAACACGUGGGUAACCUGCCUCAUAGAGGGGAAUAGCCUUUCGAAAGGAAGAUUAAUACCGCAUAAGAUUGUAGUACCGCAUGGUACAGCAAUUAAAGGAGUAAUCCGCUAUGAGAUGGACCCGCGUCGCAUUAGCUAGUUGGUGAGGUAACGGCUCACCAAGGCGACGAUGCGUAGCCGACCUGAGAGGGUGAUCGGCCACAUUGGGACUGAGACACGGCCCAGACUCCUACGGGAGGCAGCAGUGGGGAAUAUUGCACAAUGGGGGAAACCCUGAUGCAGCAACGCCGCGUGAGUGAUGACGGCCUUCGGGUUGUAAAGCUCUGUCUUUGGGGACGAUAAUGACGGUACCCAAGGAGGAAGCCACGGCUAACUACGUGCCAGCCGCCGCCGUAACAC
rnacentral:rRNA from 1 species